rnacentral:rRNA from 1 species
UACGUAGGGUGCGAGCGUUGUCCGGAAUUAUUGGGCGUAAAGAGCUUGUAGGCGGUCUGUCGCGUCUGCUGUGAAAAUCCGGGGCUCAACCCCGGACUUGCAGUGGGUACGGGCAGACUAGAGUGUGGUAGGGGAGACUGGAAUUCCUGGUGUAGCGGUGGAAUGCGCAGAUAUCAGGAGGAACACCGAUGGCGAAGGCAGGUCUCUGGGCCACUACUGACGCUGAGAAGCGAAAGCAUGGGGAGCGAACAGG